GUGAAAUGGUAUAAACCCUUUCAGUCAAAUGGAUAUGACUUGAAAGGAUCAGACCUGAACCACUGUGAUCAUGGGCUGAAGGAGCAAGGAGUGGUCUAGAUCAGCAGGGCAGUUUAGUGCUGCUCUCAGGAGCAACCCACAGCACUUUGGAGGAAGGGGAGGUAGUGCGGCGGGAUGCAGAGCCCUGCCCAGAGGCUGGAGCCCCUCCGGGAAACAAGAGUGAACAGCAGCUCCCUUGCUGCCUCGCCAGCCUGCAGACUUUCAGCUUCCCUGUCCAGCGGAGCCGCGGUGAAGAUGGUGCCAGUGACGGGGUCGAUUUUAAGCCAGCCUCUCGGGUCGCCUCUCAGAGAAUAACUUUGUAAAGUGAAAAGAACAGAAGAAAACCCACAUUACUCUGUGUGGAGAUAGUCUAUGGGUUUCUAUGCCACUGUAUCAGCUUAGC